AGGAUUGGGAUAUGUCCUAUUAGCUAGUUGGCGGGAUAAAAGCCCACCAAGGCGAUGAUAGGUAGCUGGUCUAAGAGGAUGAACAGCCACAAUGGGAUUGAGAUACGGCCCAUAUUCCUACGGGAAGCAGCAGUAGGGAAUCUUCCACAAUGGGCGAAAGCCUGAUGGAGCAAUGCCAUGUGAAUGAUGAAGGCCAGACAGGUCGUAAAGUUCUUUUAGAGGGGAAAAAUUUGAUGGUACCCUCUGAAUAAGUGACAGCAAACUAUGUGCCAGCAGCUGCGGUAAUACAUAGGUCGCGAGCGUUAUUCGGAUUUAUUGGGCGUAAAGCAAGCGCAGGCGGAUGAAUAAGUUCUGCAUUAAAAGCAGCUGCUUAACAGUUGUUUGUGC
rnacentral:rRNA from 1 species